rnacentral:misc_RNA from 1 species
GAAACGCGAAAGGUAAUGCGAAUUGCAGAAUCAGUGAGUCAUCGAAUCUUUGAACGCACAUUGCGCCUCUCGGUAUUCCGGGAGGCACGCCUGUUCGAGCGCCAUUACACACUCCAAGCGAAGCUUGAUGUUGGGCGAUGCGGCUCACGCCGCACGCCUGGAACGCAUGGGCGCCCGCCGCCGGACCGCGAACGUAGCAAGACAUCAUGUCAAACCGUUUUCGUUGGCUCCGACGGAGGGCGAUCUGAUUUAUUUUCUGUCUUAGAAAGUUUGGCCUCGGAUCAGGCGGGGAUACCCGCUGAACUUAA